CCCAACAGAGUGAAGCCCUCGUAAAUUCUCAUAUUUUAUCUAGAAAGUAUGUACGUUUUACAUUUGGGCUUAGAAAAACACGAGGAAUCAAACUUCGUGCAUGGAGAAGCAUACGGAAGAACAGGAUAAAAAUAAACAAUGUACAAUUCUGUCAUAAAAAUUGAACGAACUCUAACUGUGACCCUGUGCAGAAAACGGUGCUGUCUUUACCAGUGUCCGUUGUAUCCCGUGGGCAAGUACCUGAAACUUUUCAUGGGCACAACUACAUUUUGAGGGGCACUAAAAAUCAGUAUUACACACAACUUUUCAAAUAUGUUUACGCAGUCUGGAUCACAGACAAUAAUCUCCCUAUCAUUGCUACUUGUGUACAAAGACAAGAACAUCAGUGUUAUGUUUUAAAAGAACACGACUAUGACAAGUGUGACAAGUUUCAGGACAUGAACAAGUGCCUGUCUGAACUGCAUGAUAAAAAGAGAUUGUGUCUUCAUGCCCAAGUCCUGAGCAACAGUGAUGAUAAAUAUUCUGAAAAGGAGUCCAAGUAAAGGUUUCUGUUAUUGGAUUGCAUGCAGCACACUUUUGUUUUCUGCUCGACUGUGUGAUUGAGCCCAUGCCUUACACUCAGUGCUACUGGGAAAACAGUAAUGCCAGUAUCUGUACAUCAAUAAGAUAAGUAUUAUGUUAGGUUACUCGUUACUUUAAAAAGUAACCCAAUUAUGUAACGCAUUUUACUUUUAAUGCUGCUAGAUUGUGGUGUUCAGUUUAGCACUGUACUUUCAGCUGAUCAACAUAAGUUUAGCGAUUUCUGAAAUAUUGAAACAGAUAAUUUCAUAAUACAAUCGUCCAAGCAUUUGCCUCAGGAAGCUGAUCUUGUGGACACAUCUACCUAUGGCUGCUGAGAGUUUGUGCAAAGCUAACACAUGCGCAGGUGAAAGAGAGAGUGCAACGGACAUAAGUGGACUGCAAAUUGUAUCCCGAUUAAGUUUUCAUGGCCACAUAAUCAGGUUACUCCUGUCUGUUCGCCCCAUUUCUCUAAACCAGUGGUCUCAAACUCCAGUCCAGGAGGACCACCGUGGCUGCAGGUUUUCAUUCGAACCCUUUUCUUAAUUAGUGACCUGUUUUUACUGCUAAUUAACUUCUUUUGCAUUAACUGUACUUGACUUGCUCUUGAAGACUCAGCCCCCUUAAUUGUUUCUUUUCCUUUAAUUAGCAGCCAUACAAUAAGGAGAUACAAAAUGAGCCAAAACAACUGGUGUCCAUCACACAAUAGAGGAAAACAACAAUUUCAGAAAUGUCUGCUGUUGCACAAUGAGAGCAGCCAUAGAAUUAAAGAAUGGGUUUAAUAAACGACAAGACUCGGCGCCUGAUUAAGCAACUGGUUGGAGUUUGAGGCCCUGACUGAGUUAUCUUCUGUCGGCUCACUCACCUCACAUUUCAUUUCGGUUUGGGUGCCAUUUAAGGAAAGAGAUGAAGCAAUUCAGAUGAGCAAAUCUUACAAAAACAAGUAAAUUAAAAUGAAUUCAAAAGAAGUUAAUUAGCAGCAAAAACAGGUCACUGAUUAAGAAAAGGGUUAGAAUGAAAACCUACAGCCACUGCGGCCUUCCAGGACUGAACUUAGAGACCUCUGCUCUAAACAGAAUAAGGGUUUACAUGGUAUGUGGGGGGGCUGCACGGUGGCGCAAUGGGUAGCGCUGCUGCCUUGCAGUUGGGAGACCUGGGGACCCGGGUUCGCUUCCCGGGCCCUCCCUGCGUGGAGUUUGCAUGUUCUCCCCGUGUCUGCGUGGGUUUCCUCCGGGCGCUCCGGUUUCCUCCCACAGUCCAAAGACAUGCAGGUUAGGUGGAUUGGCGAUUCUAAAUUGGCCCUAGUGUGUGCUUGGUGUGUGGGUGUGUUUGUGUGUGUCCUGCGGUGGGUUGGCACCCUGCCCGGGAUUGGUUCCUGCCUUGUGCCCUGUGUUGGCUGGGAUUGGCUCCAGCAGACCCCCGUGACCCUGUGUUCGGAUUCAGUGGGUUGGAAAAUGGAUGGAUGGAUGGUAUGUGGGAGCCUAGUUUUGUAUAAGCUUUUUUAUGUUUUGUUAAUUUGAAGAUAUGUUAAAUUUAUUUCAUAGUUCAAGAUUAGUUUAUGCAUUAAGAGAGGCAGAUAAUGAUACAGUAUUAAUGGGGUAUUGUUUCUUUAAGAAGGGGUGCGUGGAUUAACAGGGCAGUGGAAACACACAGUUUUCUUACCGUGUGUGUCUUAUGUUUCAUUGUGUAACUGUGGAAAUAUAUAACGUGGAAAAUAACCGUCAUUUGAUUUACACAACAACAGAGUGGAUAAAUGUGAAACGCCAUGGACUGGACACGCGUAAGUUACUGCCGUAGCCACACGUUGUUUCGCGCCUAGAAGUCAGGUUUCUGUGAAUAACCGAGUUAGUACAGCACAUGCAAACAUACUGAGUGUCUGCGGCCUUGUGAAUGAUUUCACAAGCGUUUUCCAACACAUCCCAGUCAGCCCAAACACGCAGUCUUGUAAUGUUUCAACUCUCUCAGCAGACCAUGAGUGUAUGGGUGUUCUUUUUCCACUUUUGCUUAUAAGUGGAUAGCAACGGCAGCGUAAAAUGGUCAGAAUUACACAGCAGUGUGUGAGGUAAAGGGCUACAGGCGUCCUGUAUAGCACAGUAGAAGUGCACAAUACGUGGGGUGUCUGCCCGCUCUACAAAGUACUGUUAGAUCCAGCAGAAGAGACAUAGCAGGCUGCUAUUUGAUUUUUGUAGUUUUAUUUUAUCCUUCCUUGAUAUUGUUAUUUUUAAACAAUUUUUGAAUUGCCAGUUGUUCAGGAUGUUAUAAGUGCACUUUCUUUUUUUCAGCAUGCACCUGGGUGUUUUUCUGAUAUGUUCUUUUCUCUAUUCUUGAGUCUGUAUAUUAUAUAAUAGCAUAAUCUGCAACAUAUAUUGAAGUGCAUUUUGCAAGAAAGUGAAUUGAACUCUCUUGUAGUCAGAGGUUAUAGUAUAGAAAGCAAAGUCAAAUUCAUUUUAAGUGACUUUUCCUAUACAUCUUGAUUCCUCUAUUUGUUUAUCCCUUUGACGUAAUCUAUGUUGUUUGAGCCAGCGUCCAUUCAUCUAUCAGCAAUUUCCAUUUCAAAGUCACCGAUCUAUCUCAGUGACAUCAGGCACAGAGCACCAAUACAUCUCCAAGCCCUGUCAUGGCAGAUGAGUUUAUAGUCACCAGGUAGCCCAAUGUGCCUGUCUUUCAAACUGAAGAAGAGAACCACGAGACCACGGGACAUGCAAACUCCACACACACUGUGACCCUUUACUGAAACAAAGUAUUCGGGUGGGGAUGGGGUCUGACAGCUGCAACUUUUUUAACCCUUCAUAAUUAAUUGAAUUUAUUUUUAUUUAACCAGAGAUUAAAUUAAACUACUAGGGUUGUCUUGUUAUUGUAUGCUAGCUUCAUUCUAACAGGAAUAAACUAUUGUACACUAAAUUAUGAUGUCUUCUGUACUUCUUAUGUGAAAUUGUGCAUUUAUGUAUUUCUGCAGAUUUACAAGAAAGCAGCACCUUCUCCUCAUCAUCAUUUCCUCGGGCCUCUCUGCACUGUAGACCACUGCAAAAUGACAACAUGAAACAAGUCAAAUUCAAAUCAGAAAUGUUAUUGCCGACCUCAUUGCCAUAUAUUUAUCUGCCUUGUGGGAAAUUAAAAAGGGUAGAUGCUAGCACUACUCAACCUCUGGCGCACAAGGCAAAUCCAGUAGCUUUGUAUGUUUGCCAGGAGCAGAGAAAAACUUCUGAACAAAAACCUGACACAAAGCAAAAGAGAAAUCAUACAAGACGGAAACCUUUCCGUUGUUCUGAAUGUGAAAAACAGUGGUCCAAAAGUAGCCAUUUAAAGGCCCACGAAAGAAUUCACACUGGAGAGAAGCCAUAUUUCUGUCUUGAAUGUGGCAAACAUUUCUCUUGCAGGAGCAAUCUUCAGAAGCAUAGAAGAAUUCACACUGGAGAGAAGCCAUAUUGCUGCUCAGGGUGUGGGAAACGAUUCUCUUGCAGUAGCAAUUUUCAGAAACAUACAAGAAUCCACACCGGGGAGAGGCUGUAUAGCUGUUCAGACUGUGGUAAAGAAUUCUUACAUAGAAACAAUCUUGACGUGCACAAAAGAAUUCACAUUGGCGUUAUGCAUGAGGCCCCAGGACUCUGAACAAAUCCAAAUCGUAUUAUGUGAUAUCAUCUACUGUUGAAUUCUGCUCUGUUCUUGUAAUAUUUCUAUUGCACUAUUAUAUUGUACUGAGGAUUACUUGUGUUCUGUUCUGUGUAUUGCAUUGUAUUUACCUUCUUCUCUUUGAUACCUACUGCAUGCCCAACCUACCUGGAAAGGGGUCUGUCUGUGAAGAUCUCUUGCCCAAGGUUUCUUCCAUUUUUUUUUUUCUCUACAAGUAUUUUUAUUUUGGGGAAUUUUUCCUUGUCUUUUUAGAGAGUGAAGG